rnacentral:rRNA from 1 species
GACGAACGCUGGCGGCGUGCUUAACACAUGCAAGUCGAACGGAAGGGCCCUGCUUUUGUGGGGUGCUCGAGUGGCGAACGGGUGAGUAACACGUGAGUAACCUGCCCUUGACUUUGGGAUAACUUCAGGAAACUGGGGCUAAUACCGGAUAGGAGCUCCUGCUGCAUGGUGGGGGUUGGAAAGUUUCGGCGGUUGGGGAUGGACUCGCGGCUUAUCAGCUUGUUGGUGGGGUAGUGGCUUACCAAGGCUUUGACGGGUAGCCGGCCUGAGAGGGUGACCGGCCACAUUGGGACUGAGAUACGGCCCAGACUCCUACGGGAGGCAGCAGUGGGGAAUAUUGCACAAUGGGCGGAAGCCUGAUGCAGCAACGCCGCGUGCGGGAUGACGGCCUUCUGGUUGUAAACCGCUUUCGCCUGUGACGAAGCGUGAGUGACGGUAAUGGGUAAAGAAGCACCGGCUAACUACGUG